AUAAGAUUCUAAUUGAGCACUAUAAUUAGAGCCGAUCAUUUUCAUGAGGAAUUAAAUUAGGUAAACCUGAUUGAACAGUACCAGUGCAAUGUACGAGUUGGAUCUUGCGAAUUUUAUUCCGUAUUAAUUACUUGUUGUAGUUGAGGAAAUGAAAACUUCGCUUUAUUAAACAGGACAGUGUAAAACAGUGCAAUGAUUUUUUUUACACUCACUUCAGUUUGUGAAAUUGAAAUUAGAAAAAAAAUUGAAAUUCCGAGCAGUUGGGUAUAGUGCCUAGAGUUGUCUACUUAAUUUUUGACAGAGUGUUUGUAAUUUACUGCUCUAAGUAUAGAUCACUAUCAUUAUUUUUUGUCUCUCGGUGGUUCUCAAUUAUGGUCAUGCAUCUCUUCAAUCUGACCCUAUAACUAGAACUUCGGUUGUAUUUCGUAUAAAGAGGCGUAUUAAAAUGAAGACGGAUUUUGAUAAUAGACCGCCAAAUCUUUUGCAUUGACAACCUUCCGUGCCUCAGUAACCUCAUAAGUUUUUAGACCUCAUUUAGAGUAAUCCAUUUUCCUGAUUCAAUAAACAUUUCAAAAUAGUAUCUAUCUACAUAACAAGUGCGUUUUCAGUUUCGAGGAAAUAUCCAAAUCUACAUACAUUUAUUUCUCAAACAGAAAAUUGAAUAGGAUAGGUAGCUAUUGAUAUGUAUAAUAACAUGGAGUAGAAAAUAUCUUAUUCCUGCCUAUUUAAAAAAUAUAUAUAUAUACCAAUUUUGAUCUAAGAUAACCUAAAUGGAGAAUUUUGUUUCUAAUCAAUACUAUAUCUUUUUAACAUGUGAUUACGAUAUUUAGAUAAGUAAUUAAUUAAAAUUGUAUGGAUACCGAACUCUCCAAAGCAUGGUAUGUUUGUUCGUACACCCCUUGGUAGUCAGUUCACUGAAUGAUGAUGUUGCUCGGGUUCUGUAAAAAUCACUGAAAUUUGUGUCCAAGCAAAGUCUGUGAUCAGUGCAAUAAGAUCCAAUCUGAGCACUAUAAUCGAAGCUGAUAAUUUUUAAUUUUCAUAAGUAAAUGAAUUAGGUGAACUUGUUUGAACAGUAUCAGUGUAAUAUUGAAGCCGGGUCUAGCGAAUUUUAUUCCGUAAUACUUGUAGUGGUUGAAGCAAUGGGAACUUUGCUUAUCGCCAUCCUUAUUUUUUGCGUCUUCGUGGUUCUCUGUUACAGUAUACCUAUACCUGAUGUGCCUACAGGGCGUCCUAAUGGGCUUCCUCAUCCUGAAAGUGCCACUGACUUGCCUCCAUGGUUUAUUGAUGAGGACGCCUAUGGGACUACGCAUAAACUGCACUGAUGCCCUUCUCUGCUUCAGCAACCCCCUCUCUUUUGCCAAUUUUAUUUAAUUCACAUUCACCUAUUCUGGCUUUAAAUCCCAUUCUUUUAGUUUUAUUACAUAAGUACAUAUAUUAUGUUAAUUUAAAGAAAAAUAAAUAAAUAAUAAACUUAAUAACUAAUAACAAAGGUGGUGUUUAAACAUAUUAUUAUGUAGAAUGUAGAUAGAGGAACUUGAAAAACACUCAACACUUAUAAAGUUAUAAGGAGGUACACAUGAAGUUUAUGAGGACAAAGUUGCCUAACCUCGGGCUCUUAGGAGUGCCCGUUUAAAAAACUGUCGUUGUCCAAAACGAGGAAAAUUUCAAUUUUACAAGAACAACGAUUAAAUUAUAAAUUUUGAAAUGAAAUUUAUUCUUCAUUGCUAAUCAAAAUAUAGGCUUUUAUCACAAAUUUUGAAGCUUUUGUUCAAAAAACACCCAUACAAUCCACAUUUUCAAAAACAAACAUUUCAAUCCUGAAACAAUUGGAAAGAAAAUUGAUUCAAAUUGUUUUUUAAAAGUGUGUCUAUUCUCGAAAUGUAUUUUGGCAAACAAGAAAAUGGACCCCUUGAGGCUUGAAGCAAAUCUUUGAAUUUUAAUUUUUUUUCAAACCUUAAUUUUCUUUAAAAAUUAAUAUCUACUUAUAUAAAUUUGAUUAAAUACAUAAAAAAUACAUAGGUAUUUAAAAAAAAAUUUCUAUUAAAAUUCAAUUAUUAAAUGAAAAUGUAAUCAACUAUUUUAUUUAUUAAUAAUAUAAUAAAAAGAAAAAUAAGCUUUGAAUCAAAUGCAACGGAGUAGUCUCAUGAAAAUGUAUCCAUAGUUUUCGUUAAAAAAAAAAUUAAAACAUUGACUGGAAAAUUAUGUAUUUACUUAUGUUGAUUACCUAAUUGAAUUUAAUAUUAUUUUUUAUUAAAAUAAACCAUUUCAAAAUAGAGCAAAAAUAACGUAAAAUCAAAGUACAUAAUUAUUUUUGAAUAUUUGACCAUUAAUUUUUAUCAAAUAAAUAUUCACAAAAAUGAUCCGAAAUCCGAAAUCUCUUUUUACAAAGUCAUUCAUUGUGCCAAUUACCUACGUAUAGGUAUAUUUUAACACUUAUCAUAUAUAACUGUGUAGAAUCGGGAAUCUCUAUCCCCUCAUAAUGGGCUGAUCAAGAUUUCUCAAACAAAAAAAAUCACAAACAUGAAAAAAUAUUAUUGAUAGACGUUUUAGGCUCAAGCAACGCAACCCACAUCAAGUUCACGAUGAUGAAUUUGCCUAACCGUAGGCGAACAGAACCAAGUUAACGGAUCAGUUUUACUCUUCAAAUGAGUUUAACUUAUUUUCAUACUAUAAAAAUGAUCAUCACUGAUCCUAAUUUCAAUUUACGACGAUGUCAAAAAAACACCUACAUACGAAUCGAUUACCCAUUUAGAUCUAAGAUAAGAUGACCCAAUUGACAAUUUUGUGUGAUUCUAGCCAAUGCCACUCGUAUCUCUUGUCCUCUUUCUGAAAUGGCAUUACGAUAUGCAGAUGAUUAAUCAACAUUCUUGACAAUUUUCACUACGAUUAAGGCUAGUAAUUUUUAUAUAAAAAUGAAUUAAUUAAAAUUUAGUCGAACAGAAUUUGUGUCACUUUGAGAUUGAAUCUCGUGAAUUUUACUCCUUGUUACUUGACUGUUAUAUGUAUGUAUCUAGUUGAAGCAAUGAGAAAUACGCUCAUCGUCAUACUUAUUUUUUGUGUCGCAAUGGUUUUCAGUUAUGAUGAUCUAUUUCUGAAAGGUGGCGUAGGUGCACCUUUACCUCCUAAGCGUAGAGUGCUUCCUGGGACUUCAGGGGCUCGAUGGACUAUUAAUUACCCGAAAAUGCCUACCAAGCCACCUCCUAUGCGUUAACAAAAUCCUAAUCCUCAGCCACCUCUUCUGUAUCUGCCACUUCAUUCACAUCCACCGCCACUACUAUAUUUUAUUCAUUACUUAUCCCUUAUAUUCAAAGGUAACAAUUCUAUGAACCUCGUACUUUUAUUGCUCAAGUAUGCAGCAGUUUCGUUACCUUAAUUUUAAAAGAAAAAAUAAUAAAUAUGAGUAGGAUAUGUAAAAUAUGUAUACCUAGGUUCAAUCCAUGUAACCUUUAUGACAAUGAAUUUGCCUAACCUUCAGAUCGUAGGGGUAA